GGUUAAGUUAACAAGGGCGCAUGGUGAAUGCCUUGGCACUAGGAGCCGAUGAAGGACGGGACUAACACCGAUAUGCUUCGGGGAGCUGUACGUAAGCUAUGAUCCGGAGAUUUCCGAAUGGGGCAACCCAGCAGUUUUAAUCAACUGUUACCACUAGAUGAAUUCAUAGUCUAGUUGGAGGUAAACGCUGUGAACUGAAACAUCUCAUUAGCAGCAGGAAUAUAAAGAAAUUUCGAUUCCCUAAGUAGCGGCGAGCGAACGGGGAACAGCCCAAACCAAAGUGCUUGCACUUUGGGGUUGUAGGACUGAACAUUUGAGUUACCAAAGAACUUGAUAGUCGAAGGAUUUGGGAAAAUCCGCCAUAGAUGGUGAUAGCCCAGUAGAUUAAAUCAAAUUCUCUCAGUUCAGGAUCCUGAGUACGGCGGAACACGUGAAAUUCCGUCGGAAUCCGGGAGGACCAUCUCCCAAGGCUAAAUACUACCUAGUGACCGAUAGUGAACCAGUACCGUGAGGGAAAGGUGAAAAGCACCCCGGGAGGGGAGUGAAAUAGUUCCUGAAACCAUGUGCCUACAAUAAGUCAGAGCGCGUUAAUGCGUGAUGGCGUGCCUUUUGUAGAAUGAACCGGCGAGUUAUGAUCCCGUGCAAGGUUAAGACUAAAAAGUCGGAGCCGUAGCGAAAGCGAGUCUGAAAUGGGCGUUUUGAGUACGAGGUUAUAGACCCGAAACCAGGUGACCUAUCCAUGUCCAGGUUGAAGGUGCGGUAAAACGCACUGGAGGACCGAACCCGUGUAAGUUGAAAAUUGCUGGGAUGAGGUGUGGAUAGCGGUGAAAUUCCAAACGAACUUGGAGAUAGCUGGUUCUCUCCGAAAUAGCUUUAGGGCUAGCCUCGGAAUUAGGAUCAUGGAGGUAGAGCACUAUUUGGACUAGGGGCCCGUCUUGGGUUACUGAAUUCAGAUAAACUCCGAAUGCCAUUGAUUCAUAUCCGGGAGUCAGACGAUGAGUGAUAAGAUCCACCGUCGAAAGGGGAACAGCCCAGACCAUCAGUUAAGGUCCCUAAAUGUAUGCUAAGUGGAAAAGGAUGUGGAGUUGCAUAGACAACUAGGAUGUUGGCUCAGAAGCAGCCACCAUUUAAAGAGUGCGUAAUAGCUCACUAGUCGAGUGAUCCUGCGCCGAAAAUGUACCGGGGCUAAGCAUACUACCGAAACCAUGGAUGCGACCAUUAGGUCGCGUGAUAGGAGAGCGUUCUAAGGGCGGUGAAGCAAGAUCGUGAGGACUUGUGGAGCGCUUAGAAGUGAGAAUGCCGGUAUGAGUAGCGAAAGAUAGGUGAGAAUCCUAUCCACCGAAUGACUAAGGUUUCCUGGGGAAGGCUCGUCCUCCCAGGGUUAGUCGGGACCUAAGUCGAGGCCGAGAGGCGUAGACGAUGGAUAACAGGUUGAGAUUCCUGUACUAGUUAAGUGCGUUUGAGCAAUGGAGGGACGCAGGAGGCUAAGAUGUGCAUUCUGUUGGAUUAGAAUGUCCAAGCAGUAAGUCUUGUGAAGAGUCAAAUGCUUUUCACUUUAAGGACAAGCUGUGAUGGGGAGCGAAAUUUAGUAGCGAAGCGUCUGAUGUCACACUGCCGAGAAAAGCUUCUAGUGAGUACUUAACUACCCGUACCGCAAACCGACACAGGUAGUCGAGGAGAGAAUCCUAAGGUGAGCGAGUGAACUCUCGUUAAGGAACUCGGCAAAAUGACCCCGUAACUUCGGGAGAAGGGGUGCUGAUCGCAAGAUCAGCCGCAGUGAAUAGGCCCAGGCGACUGUUUAUCAAAAACACAGGUCUCUGCAAAAUCGUAAGAUGACGUAUAGGGGCUGACGCCUGCCCGGUGCUGGAAGGUUAAAAGGAUGGGUUAGCUUCGGCGAAGCUCAGAAUUGAAGCCCCAGUAAACGGCGGCCGUAACUAUAACGGUCCUAAGGUAGCGAAAUUCCUUGUCGGGUAAGUUCCGACCCGCACGAAAGGCGUAACGAUCUGGGCACUGUCUCAACGAGAGACUCGGUGAAAUUAUAUUGUCCGUGAAGAUGCGGACUACCCGCGACAGGACGGAAAGACCCCAUGGAGCUUUACUGUAGCUUGAUAUUGAGUGUUUGUACAGCUUGUACAGGAUAGGUAGGAGCCAUAGAAACCGGAACGCUAGUUUCGGUGGAGGCGUUGGUGGGAUACUACCCUCGCUGUAUGACCACUCUAACCCGCACCACUAAUCGUGGUGGGAGACAGUGUCAGGUGGGCAGUUUGACUGGGGCGGUCGCCUCCUAAAAAGUAACGGAGGCGCCCAAAGGUUCCCUCAGAAUGGUUGGAAAUCAUUCGCAGAGUGUAAAGGCACAAGGGAGCUUGACUGCGAGACAGACAGGUCGAGCAGGGACGAAAGUCGGGCUUAGUGAUCCGGUGGUACCGUAUGGAAGGGCCAUCGCUCAACGGAUAAAAGCUACCCUGGGGAUAACAGGCUUAUCUCCCCCAAGAGUCCACAUCGACGGGGAGGUUUGGCACCUCGAUGUCGGCUCAUCGCAUCCUGGGGCUGUAGUCGGUCCCAAGGGUUGGGCUGUUCGCCCAUUAAAGCGGUACGCGAGCUGGGUUCAGAACGUCGUGAGACAGUUCGGUCCCUAUCCGUCGCGGGCGUAGGAAAUUUGAGAGGACCUGUCCUUAGUACGAGAGGACCGGGAUGGACAUACCUCUGGUGUACCAGUUGUGCCGCCAGGCGCAUCGCUGGGUAGCUACGUAUGGAUGUGAUAAACGCUGAAAGCAUCUAAUUGUGAAACACACCUCGAGAUGAGAUUUCCCAUUCCUUUAUGGAAGUAAGACCCCUGAAAGAUGAUCAGGUAGAUAGGUUAGAAGUGGCAGUGCGGUGACGCAUGAAGCGGACUAAUACUAAUCGGUCGAGGACUUAACCAA
rnacentral:rRNA from 1 species